UAUAUAUACUUCCAACUUUACUUCUGAAGCUGUUUGUGGAGUGCUUUCAUUUUUACAGAACUAUGUAGUCCAAAUGAGCUUUCACAAAACUGCCUCCAACUUCAAUAUAUCCCCUACUUCCGACAUGGGGAAAGCUUGGAUGUAGUUCCCACCUCUGUGACUGGGGCUGAGUGCCAAUUACACAGCACCCAGUGGCCUAUGACUCUCUUUUUCACUUCUAAGAGUCUCUCUUUUCUAGGUAAAUCUUCAAGACAGCUUGCAAACUAUUUGCUCUGGAGUUGAAAGUAACCUUGAAAACACUACUCCAUAGUAGUAACCGACAGGAUUAUCCUGUCCUUUCUCAAAAAUGGUGGUAUAUCAUUCCUAUCUUUCCUCCUCAAACUCUUCCCAGCAGGUUUCUGAAGACCUUUUUGAGGUAAGUGAUAUAGUUUUUUUCCUCUUACAUUUGAAUAUUUCAUCUCUAACUUCACAGGGAGACAACUAUCUCCUAACUGCGUGUAAAAAGCUAAGGGUGUUUUUUAUGUAUGUUCUAAAGCAUUUGAUGCAAUCUAUACAAUGAUUAUAUAUAAAUAAAGGCAAUUCUUUUUAAAAUCACCUCUAUACGGGAAGAUGCAUGCCUUUUAGAGGCAAGAGACUAAAAAGUCUGUACAUAAAUCAAGCAGGAUCCAAAGGUGAGAAAUUCAAGCUCUUUAAAGAGUAUUUGAAAUGCAAACAUUAACACAAGACAGGGGACAGAAGACACCCUGACAUCAGAAAAUGAGUCCUCGAAAUGAUUCCUCGAGUGAUGUAAAAGUAUGACUGAAAACACUGGGCCAAAUUCUGCUCUCACAGUUUGUGGAUUUAAAUUAACUCAGCAAUGUGAGUUCAUUAAAAGGGAGAUGGUGUCAGCCUUGCCAUGUUCAGGAAGGUUGCAAAUGGAUUUAAGUAUAUAAAUAAAAGAUGGCUUCUUUGACAUACACUACCAAACGGUAUUUCAAGGCAGUGCUGUCUCACAGCCAGUGUAUUGUAACAGGCUCAUAAAAGAAAACAAUGAAAUAAUUAGGUGCUGUGGCCUUGCAUCUUAUUUCUGGUGUGUGUAAUAUUAAAAAUAAUAAUUAUUAUUGUUACUAUAAUAAUUAUUGUUGUUUUAUUGUUACUAUUAUUGAUUCUUGCAGUUUUCUCAUGGCAUUCCUUAAAGCUUCAGCUACUGGAAUGAAGGGAUCAUUGGAAUUAUUUCAAGUUUGUUUGUGUUUAUGUGGUGUUCCAAUUUUCCUAGUUACAAAAAUAAACUCAAAAACAUGUCUAAAUGAAGGCACAUGGAAAAGGCAUCUAAUGUUACAUUUCUAUAUCAGGCAUGUUAUAAAGAAACAAAUUUCACUUAAAUGCCCACAGUGUCAGUAAUUAGAAUGAGCCUGGCAUUCUUUGUUACCCUGUGAAAUUACCUGCAAGGCCUUUUCAUAUUGUUUUUUGCCAUUGUUUUCAUGCUCAGUAGAGCAUUAAGAGUCAAUGACGGGCAGCUCUUGUGUUAGUCAGUCUGUGAGUCAUGGAUUAUUCUCCAUUCAUUGGCAAGCUAUGGGAAGCACCACAAGUUGUUUAUAGACAAAUACUUCCUAAAGACCUUUGUAAUGGAGAAUUCUCCUUUCUGCCUGCUGUCCAGUUCCUAUAAGGCCCAUCUUUUCCACAAAAAUAUAAAUGCCUUUUUUUUUUCUUUUCCCCUCAGUAACCUCUGUAAUAAACCUUCAGCAGAAGCUAUGGUUGAAGUAUGCUUCUAGUCCAAAGGCACUCAGUCCUCCAGCUUUGAGCAGUGCAGUGCCAUUUCCUCUCCAUUUGUUUCUAUGGAGCUGACUAUGUGUGCGGUCAUCCAUAAGGGUGCUGAGAUACCCUGGAGAGAGAAGGGCUGGCUGGAGCUAUUUUUCAUUAUUUUAUACUACACUUCAUAAUAAAUGAGAUCCAUAGCACGUGAACACUGGACUUGUAGCUCAUCAUAUCAGCAAGCAUGAGGAACCUUAUGUGCUAAAUAAAAUAAGUAAGCUUGAGAAAAAUUGUCUGGUGAGGCAGUAGAGUGUUCAGUGUUAAACUGUACAGAGCAACCUUUCUGACUGAGAAUGACGUUAAGACCUAUGGUAACUUCAGAACGGCUAGUUUUAGAGGUAAAGCAGUGUAUAAUUUGUACCUAUCUACGUUCACAGCCUUUCUUCUACAGUAAAAAAUGUACUGACUUAAAUCUCUGUGGUCUUACAGAGGUCUUUGGAGUAACAGAGAACAGCAAGCAACUUGUGAUCUACAAAGGAAAAAGGCAGGACAAGCAACAGGAUUGAACUUCUGCAAUGGUGAUGAUGAAAACGACCAGCUGAGGCAACAGGCCAGAGAUUCCUCCAGUACUGUUUCAUGGAGUAAUAGAAUAUCCUGAGUUUGAAAGGACCCACAAGAAUCCAGCUCCUGGAGGGGACUCUUUGAAGUAUAGCAGCUCCCAGCUAAGUGCUGAUUUCUUCAGAGAGAUGGAGCCCUUGAUGCCAUUUCUGAUUACCUCCAGGUGUGUUCUUCUACCAUGCACCAUGAGGCCUGGUCAGGAUGUUACCUUGAAGUAGACACAUGUUGCAGAAACCAAGAAUUAUAGAUGGGCUUGGUUUGGAAGGGACCUCAAAGAUCAUCUAGUUCCAACCCUCCUGCCACAGGUAGGGAUGCUGGCUGCCAGAUCAGGCACUACAUUUGGACAUUAGCUGAAUUCUGAGCCUGGUUCAGCACACCCACCCUCUGAGCAGAGCGGCACAAAGACAGACAAAAAGGAUCUUGUCAGCCUUUCCAUCAACCAGUCUUCCAGCUCUACGGACGCUAUCAGCUGACAAGUCUGGCCAGUACCCUCUGCCAAAAACACACGCACGCUCAACGUUCCUCAGGAGUUCCCCCCCACAUCCCACCCUGUGACAUACUUCUGUCAGAUUUCUUCUGAGCACUGUCCACACCUUCCAGAUAAUGAGUUUAACAUUUCAAGAACAGAAGCUCUCAAUCUGAGCAAGACGAGGGAAAGAUCUGCAGCCUUGAUUUGGGGAAGGUGCCAACCCACCCUGUGCUCUCUGAAACUCCUUUGGCAUCCUCCUGAUUUAAGGUUGAACCCUCUCCUGAGAAAGUCUGUCUGUACAGAAGGAGCAAGACAAGCACUCGGACACAAGUCCCAGCUUUGCAGCUGCAGUCUUAAAGUUUGCAGCUCUCCAAAUCUUACUCGGAUCAAGUUCAAGUGUGCCUUUCCUUCAAGGAUACAACCACGCGUGCAGCUAUCAUCUAAAUGCCAACAACACCACCUGGAAAUCCAUCUCAGAUGCCACUUCUUCUUCAAGCAGAUCUUCCCACCUGUCUCAAGCCAGAUGUUUUGAACAGUCAUGGAACUACCUGCAAAUAAUGCUGUGCUCCUGCUUCUCCAGUGUGUCUUCCUAGACCUGAUGUCAGCUUCUUGCUUGUGGAGACAAAGAAUGUCACCAUGAAUGUCCAUUGGCAAACUGGAUAAGAAAAGAGUGUCACAGUGCAGGACAACCUAGAAGAUGACAGGUAUUUCCAGGCAUAGCAAUGAUGAGAUCAAAUUCCCCUCAACCUGCCUUGUUUGCUGAUCUUUUAAUCAGAUUCAACUUCACUGCAGCUACAGCACAAGGUUCCCUGACAAUGUAUGACAGCAUGUGACAGAAAAAUAUUUUGAUUUUUUUUUUUUCUUUGACCAUUUGAUGUUAUUUCAGAUAUAUCUGAAGCCCUGGCAGCAUCUGCUAAAUCUACUGAACUGUUUUAGUGGAGGUUUUUAAAUGUGCAUAAUUGAACUGGAGGGUUUGGGGGUUGUGUUCUUUUGCGUGUAGGGGAAUCCAAACAGGAAAGCUGGGAAAUGAUCUAAACCCUUUGAGGUUAACAUGCCAUGAAAGUGCAUCAACAACUGAAGAGGACAUUAUUAAAAAGCAGCUAACCCAGCUCAAAAAGAACCACUGUGUGAAGCAAGAGCCUGCAGAACAACACCCAGGGCUGUUUGUGAUCCCACUGGGAUAUGUAUUUCAUCCCCUGCCUUCAUAUCUCCAGAUUUCCUCUGAACUGCUUCUGAGACGAGUUCUCGAAAAAGAAAAACACCAGCAACUACUGAAUGCCUCUUAUCAACCUUUUCCCCGCAAUCUGUUUCGUAUUCGUCUCACACCCUUGUUCUCGCAGUGUCUUGAGGAAAUGCUCGGAUCAAAGAUAAGAGAGAACAAGGAAAGGAAUGAAGCAAGAGGCAAACAACAAAACAAAACCACCACCACCACAGCUCUCCCCCCACCCCCUUAAACUUUUUGACUAAACUUCUCUGCGAAUGGUGCGCAUGAUUACAGCACUGUUAAAACUGCCUUCUUCUUCGCCAGUGCUUAAUUCCUGCUUUUAAAAUCAGGCUCCCUUUGAUCUUGAGGAUUGAAAUGAUCUGGAAAUGAAACAGCCAUUGCUUUGCAGAAAAUCUGGAUAGGGUCCCAGGCAUGGCUUUCACCUGGAAGGAUUCCAAAAUAGGAUGAAAUCUCUCCGGUUUCAGAACAAAUUGCAAGGUUUUUCUCUAUGUCUAGUCCAAGCGUGGAACUCCAGCCCUGACGUUUGCUAGUUCCCAAAGUGCAGAUGUAAUAACCUCGAAGGUGAACCGUGAGCCCUUUUCCUCCAUUUUCUCCCCUCUGCCUCUCCUUCAAGGAUCAAAUGUUUGGAGAAUUUUAUUAAAACAAAGGCUUAAAUUUCUGAGCAAACUUAAGUUGAGGAGACAGUUACUUAUAAACUGGGCUAGGUUUGGCCACAGGAGGGUUGGGCAGGACAGAGGACCAGGAGCAUCUGUAACAUCUGGAUCUUGUUGCAUGCACAGAAAUAUCUGCCUGGCUUUGCACAACCUAAUCCCAGAGCCAAAAGGGCUGAGAAAUGUGGUUCAGAGACACUGAAGCCGGCUUUGCCCUACCAAAUAAGUCCCACUGAGAAAGAAUCAUAGAACCACAGGCAUUAAAGCUGGGAAGAACAAUAAGAUCAUCUAGUCCAACCAUCAGCCCAUGACUGUGACUGCUCCAGACCACAUCUCUCAGUGCCACAUCCCCACGGUUCUUGAAUUCCUUCAGGGACAGUGACUCUACCACCUCCCUGGGCAGCCUGUGCCAAUGCAUCAUCGCUCUUUCUGAGACAUUGUUCCAACCUGAGAACAGCUGUUGAUCAGCACUUGGAGGAAACUGCACCCACCCUGGCAGACGUUUGCAGAGAAUUAGAGACUAAAGUUGCAUUCCAGCUGCUCCUGCUGUUUUCUGUUCCAAGCAGCCCUAAACAUCGACUGCAGGCAUGGAUAUUACCGAUGUAUUGCAUUGAAUGUGCUUCAGAUUAAUUUGGCUCAUUCGUGAAGCUCUAUGCACUGCACAUUCCCUGACUGAAACCAAAAAAUAGACCAGCAAAGCAAACUAAUUGAAACAUGGUACUCUGCAUCUCACUUCAGCACCAUCGCUCCACUCUAGAGCUGCACAGUUCAGAGUUAAUAGACUGCCGUGUCAGGGAUGCCACUCACCGGGGUGAAACGCAACUCAAUGGUCUGUGAGAACAUACAUGCAAUACAGAGGACCUAAGAAUGUUUUUCAUGGAUACCAAAGAGGAGUCAGAUGCAUGGAUACCAAAGAGGAGUCAUGGAUACCAAAGUAAUAUUGUACUGCUGCCUGGAGUCCGUGGCCCGCUGCACUGGCAUUUUCACUGAAGACUUAUUACUUCUGCAGACAUCUUCAAGGGAGUGAAUUUAAGGAAGGUAAUAUGGAGACAUGGUUAGGUUUUAUACCCUCUGCUCAUCAGGAUAAUGUAUAGAGACUUGCUGAACUGAGAUAUGAAGAUGGCCUAAUCAUCAAAUAUGGAUUCAGGUCUCCCCUGCUGAGCAGGACAGACAGACGGACUACGCAAGGCCCAACCCCUGUCCUUCCCGCAAACAGAGGCUGGAGAAACCACACGUCCCCUUUCCAGAAAGGCAUCCACUCUUGAUCUGAAGACUUCAAGAGGUGGAGAACCCACCACAUCUGCUAGUAGCCUGGGUCAUUCAGCUUUAGCAGAGCACCUUCUGAGGAGAUUUCACUCUGCUGAUGUGCUGUUCUGACACAGCAUGUACUAUAAUGGAAAGGGCUUUUCCUGCUACAAUGCGAACAGAAGCUGGUCUGCAGCCAUCUGGGGUCCAGGACUCUACCUGUGGCACAAUCUAAAAGAGAUGGGGAACAUUUCAGCAUCCUUUCUCCCUUCAAUUUUGAUGGAAGACAGAACUCAGAUGCAGCAGGAUGAAGCAAUUCAUAGGCAACCAGGAAGGAGGCAGACAGCCCAACUGUCUUCCCAUGAUACUGUUAAUAUGGACUGCACAUCUAAUUGCAAAAACAGAGAAUGAGGAAUUGCGGGCAGGUUUUUUUCUUUGCUUUUUCUUUUUGCUUCCCCCUCGGCCCCCCAAAUAUUCUGAGACAUGAAUACAGGAAAGUGGAGGGAGAGAGGGAAAUAGGAAACAUAAGGAAAACUAUUUUAUUCGAUUCACUGAUAUUUUGGGCCCUAAAUUUCCUAUGGAUUUAUGCAAAGACUUCCAGACAGGCAAAGAGGCUUUAAGCCCUCACCUCAAAUUAAUACUCAGUACAAAUUACUCUCAGAGGCUUUGCACAUUUCCCAGCAAGGUGCUUCAAAAAAGAAAAACAAAAACCCGCAAACACAUGACUCGGAAACUGAUUUUCUUUUGCUCUAUCAUCUUAAGUUAGGAUUGUUUGGUUGGAAAACUUAGAUAUGUGUAUGCAAGUUUUUCUCCAAUUUCCACCACGCUAUUGCAUUCAAAAACAUUUCAUUAGACACACAAUAUGUUGGAGGUUCUAAGGGGAAAAAAAAAAAAGAUUUUCAAGGCCUUUAGAGGGAGUCCUAUACAAAGUCCAAGUGUGAAGCUCUUGAAGGCUUUCUUGUCCCCUUAUUGAGUGUUAAUGGGAUUUGUAUUGAUUCAUUGAUGGGAGAUUACAUUCCUUAGUGUCUCUGUCAUUAAUACACAUUGGUAAAAUGUAUGAUGUGUAGGAGGUCAAUAUCCAUAUUAUUUUUUCCUAAUUUGGUUUCUAGUAGUUGGAAAAGUGGCUCUGAGACAGCAGCCAACUGCAGCAGGGGCUGUUAAAGGAGGUCUUAUUUACCAGCAGCCAAAAGGAUAUCUUCAAACACUGAUUUUCAUGCACAGAUUGGCUCCACUUCUUCCUAUAUAUACAGUACCAGAAUGAUAAAAAAAAAAAAAAAAAAAAUUCAAAUAUUUAUACAUAUGGCUAAUUAGAACACCUGGCAUAGCAGGCAAGGAAGCUAAUAGGAAAGAGAUGGGGUGGAUGUGGAACUUGCAGUGUGUACUGCAUCCUAAACUGCUUGUUUUUUUUACUGACGUCUCUUCAGUGAGACUUGCUCCAUUGCAGAAACGUGCUAGAUCUACUGCCCUUGAAAACAGGUCACCACUUGUAUGGGAACUGCUGAGCACCUGGGGAAAGAACCUGGUCAGCCCUGGGAGCAAAGGUGAAGGAAAUUGGUUCCAGCUGUGGAACCAGGAGUGAAGCCUGGCUGCACCUCUCUUAGACCUCACUUAAGGGCUGACUGCCACUGAGAAAGGGUCUCUUUUCUGGAGGUUUCUCCUUGGUGAAGCUUUGCCCUGUCAAGCUCCAGAUACAGUACAGCCUGAAUUGCUUCUCUGAGUUACAACGUCAGCAACAGUUAACUAAGACCUCACUCACUGUGGAGAUGAUCACAAGUGCGAUAAGGAAAGGAAAGAGAGAUGAAGCCAGUGAACAGUAUUUACCUGGAUAAAU